rnacentral:lncRNA from 1 species
GGAUGAUAACAAUCUCAGAGACUACUGCAGAAAUGUGAGUGGCCCAAAUCAAAGCUGUGGCAAUGGAAGCAGAGGAGGAUGGAAACUAGAGUCCAUGUUGGCCUUACAAGUCUUCUCUGAAUAUUCCAGAAACUAAUAGUUAAGAUUCUUUCAAAAAGGAGUAAAGCAGAGACAUUCAAAGAUGAACAGCAAUUCUGAAUGGAAAGAGGCCAGCUGUAAAACGUCAUAGAAGACCUGCAGUAGAGAUACAAUCCUGAGAAGAAUAUUUAGCAAGAAUGGGGUUUCAGAUUUCUGGUAUUUCCAUAUGGGUGGAGAUUGAAGAAAAAAAAGAAAAGAGCAAAAGUUUUCUCAUAAUGUUUUGCAACUUCUGCUUCCGGGCCCAGUCAGAGCCCAAAAGCAGCAAGAGAAGUAAAAUGAAAACACUGAACAUUUUUUUUGUUUUGUUUUGUUUUAAAUAAUAAUUAAUUUUCACUCACAAAACUGAGUAUACUUAAUUCAGGUAUGUUUGAGAUUUCAAAUGAAUAUCUAUAGUGAAUGCAUUUUUAUUUAAAAGGAGAAAAUGGUUUAUUCUUGACAUCCUUUCUUAGCUUAGAGAGAAAUAAAAUCUUCAGAAAAUAGUGGUGGCUUACAAAAGUUGGAUUUUUUUAAAGGAAUAAAAUGGAAAGCACGAGUAAUCUGAUGAUAAUAUUCAAUAACAGAAAAAGUUCUUGCCACUAACACUUUAUCAACUAUAAACAUAAAAACCUACUUUCUUAAAGAUUAAUUAUCUACACUGUGAUCAGCAUAAAUGCAC